UGCCUGAGCAGGGCAAAGUCAGAGGAAACUCUGGUGGAGGCCCAUCGCGAUACUGACGUGCAAAUCGUUCGUCUGACGUGGGUA
rnacentral:ncRNA from 1 species